GAAAAAUUAAAAAGCAAUGUUUGUAAAAUAAGCUGAUGGCUUGGGAAGCAGUCGAAAUCAACAACUUUAAUGAAUAGAAUUUAUUCAAGAAGCGGAAGAUUGACUCAUAGAAGUGCAGUUCGAAAAACAACGCAACUCUAUCGUCAAGG